CCUUCCCUUGCACAUCGAUCACCAGCAAAGCACUGAGACCGGAACUUUGGACUAGGGAAAAUGUUCCAGUACGGCACAUUUUACUGAAACCUACACGCUCUGGAAAGGCGCCAUCUUAAGUGUGGCACGGUUCAGGAAUGGUAAUCUUCAGUCAUCAAUCCUCAGUAACUGUUUUAUCCUAAUCAGCAUGAUGGUAAAUCUGGAGCUUAUCUCAGGAACACUGGGCGUGAGGCGGGAAUACACCUGAUGGGAUGCUAGACCAUCAGAGAGCACCAUGUGCACACACACCCAUACACACACACACACACACAUUCACACACUCAUUCAGUGUAGCCAAUGCACCUUCUGGCAUGUUUUUUGAAGUUUAAGGAAUGGUUUGUUUAAAAUCUUUUGUUAGUCAGGCAGUUGUUUAAUUCAAACAACCAUUUGAUAUCUCAUAAUGAACUGUACAGUAUGUUUAAGUGUUAAUUAUUAUUUAGGCAAUAUUUUAUUGUAUAAUCCUUUCUGGUUCAGAGUGGUGGGUUAAAUCCCAGAUAGUUUCCUUACUUCCUCCAUGAAGGGUAUCCAUCCAUUUUCUGUACCGAUUAUCCUAAACAGGGUUACAGGGAGCCUUAUGCACAUUGGGGCACAAGGUAGGGGGCACCCUGGAUGGGGUGUCAACCUAUCGCAGGGCACAAUCUCACACACUCCCAUUCACACACUACGGACAAUUUAGAGAUGCCAAUCAGCCUACAACGCAUGUCUUUGGAUUGGGGGAGUUAACCAGAGUACCCAAAGGAAACCCGAGAAGCACAGGGAGAACAUGCAAGAAGGGAUUCAAACCCCCAACCUUGGAGG